AGGACGAACGCUGGCGGCGUGCUUAACACAUGCAAGUCGAGCGGUAAGGCCUUUCGGGGUACACGAGCGGCGAACGGGUGAGUAACACGUGGGUGAUCUGCCCUGCACUUCGGGAUAAGCCUGGGAAACUGGGUCUAAUACCGGAUAUGACCUCAGGUUGCAUGACUUGGGGUGGAAAGAUUUAUCGGUGCAGGAUGGGCCCGCGGCCUAUCAGCUUGUUGGUGGGGUAAUGGCCUACCAAGGCGACGACGGGUAGCCGACCUGAGAGGGUGACCGGCCACACUGGGACUGAGACACGGCCCAGACUCCUACGGGAGGCAGCAGUGGGGAAUAUUGCACAAUGGGCGAAAGCCUGAUGCAGCGACGCCGCGUGAGGAUGACGGCCUCGGGUUGUAAACCUCUUUCAGCAGGACGAAGCGCAAGUGACGGUACCUGCAGAAGAAGCACCGGCUAACUACGUCGCCACGCAGACCGC
rnacentral:rRNA from 1 species